rnacentral:lncRNA from 1 species
AGAAUUGGACUCAAAAAGAUGAAAUUGGACCAAAAUGACCAGCUUGCUGCACGGCUGGAGUCCAAGGAAGGGGAGUCAUUAAGAGCUUCUAUUAGGAAGUAUUUUCGUCAUGGUAAUCUUGGGGACUCUCAGGAUACAGAUAUUGUGGGACUGAAAAACUACAUGGAUGCUCAAUACUUUGGUGAAAUUGGUAUUGGUACUCCCCCUCAAACGUUCACUGUAAUCUUUGACACUGGUAGCUCAAACCUGUGGGUUCCAUCAUCCAAGUGCUAUUUCUCGGUGAGCUUCCAUAUUUCUGUGGAAUGUGACAAUAUGUUAGUGAACAUUUUUUUUUCCAUUUCAAGUUGGUUGGAAGCAAGAGAAUCAUCAUGUGUUUGAAUUUUGUCAUUUUGGUGCAGGUUCCUUGCUAUUUCCAUUCAAAGUACAAGUCAAGCCAAUCAAGUACCUACAGGAAGAAUGGUUUGUUCUUAUCACACAUCCAUUAUGUCUUCAAAAGUAUCAUUAUUAUAAUUUUUUCAGAUAGUGGUGUUAAUUGGUCAAUAUUGUGCUUGUGUUAAUAUUAGUAUGAUUCAACCGCAGUGUUUUGUAUAAUGUUUGCAUCAGCCACCUAUAUCCUUGCUUGUGUAUCUUUGGACAACUACCACAUGGGUUUUGGAAUCAUUGUCUAAAAUUAUAUCUGAAAAUUGGCCACUUAACAAACUCGUCAUCCAUCAUGCAGGGAAAUCUGCUGAUAUCCAUUAUGGUACUGGAGCUAUCUCAGGUUUCUUUAGUGAAGACAAUGUGAAAGUUGGUGAUCUUGUUGUGAAGAAUCAGGUGAUUUUGAGCAGUUUUUCCUCUUGAAUUUGAUUGAUUAUUUUGACUAUGGCUGCCUAUGCUAAAAACUGUGGGUCCUUAUCAGGAAUUUAUUGAGGCAACUAGAGAGCCCAGUGUCACAUUUUUGGUGGCCAAAUUUGAUGGUAUAUUAGGACUUGGAUUUCAAGAGAUUUCAGUUGGAAAUGCCGUCCCAGUGUGGUAUGUUGGACAACUUUGAUAUUUUUGUGUUGUGGAUUGUUUGAUCAAGAAGGCUUAGUUUACCUGUUUUUUGUUGUAGUAUAACAAACCCAUAUACUAACUUCUUUAACUUUUUCCGAGGUCAUUCUCAUUGACCCACAAUCAGGCUUGCCUGAUUAUUCUUGAAUUUUUGUGUAUGUGAUGAGGCAUGUGCAUGUGUUACAGGUACAACAUGGUGAAACAAGGUCUUGUUAAGGAGCCAGUAUUUUCAUUCUGGCUCAACCGCAAGACAGAUGAUGAUGAAGGGGGUGAACUUGUGUUUGGUGGAGUUGACCCCGAUCACUUCAAGGGUGAGCACACAUAUGUUCCAGUGACGCAGAAAGGCUAUUGGCAGGUUGGUAAUCUGCAAUGUUGUCGCUUAUAGUGUAAAACAUAUCUGAUUUUUAUCAUCAAUUAUUUUCUCAUUUUGUUUAUCUAUAUUUCUUGUUGAUAGUUUGAUAUGGGCGAAGUUCUUAUUGAUGGUGAAACAACUGGUGAGACCCCUCUUGAAACCAUUGUGUGCUUUAUAAACCAAAAAGUAGGAAAUUGGAGGAAAGAAGGAAAAGCCUAGAUUUAGAGACCUUUUUUUAAUGGUAUAAGCACAUAAUUAGUAUGAUUAUUAUGUCAGUUUGACACAAGCAUACCACCUCAGGGUACUGUGCCGGAGGUUGUGCAGCAAUUGCAGAUUCUGGAACUUCUUUGUUGGCAGGUCCAACGGUAUGUAUCAGUACUCUUAAGAGUUUGGUUAAUUGUUUUUAUUUUAACUUCUGUCCCAUCAAAUAUUCUUCUAGGAUUUAUUGUACUAGUUGAUACACUUAAUAUUCUCAUUGGAGGAAAUUUGAUCUUUCGUAAUUUAGUUUCAAAAGUUGUACACCUGUUUGUGGAAAUAGGAGUCCGCUACAAAUUGUUUUUCCAUGUGUUCAAUACCCAUGGUUCCAACUCCUGAUUUCAGUUUUGGCUUAAAUUCCAUCUGUAUCAUCCCGCUACAAAUUGUUUUUCCAUGUGUUCAAUACCCAUGGUUCCAACUCCUGAUUUCAGUUUUGGCUUAAAUUCCAUCUGUAUCAUCUGAACUUAUACAAAUUCUGUAUGGAAGGUUGAAAAAAUUUAACUAUUUUCUUUUAUUUUUUGCCCCCCCCCAAAAAGUAGCUCAUUUUGGUAGCUUCCCUCAUGGUUUAGAACUUUGUCAAGUAAUGGCAGUUACUAUCGAUCCAGUUCUUCAGUUUGUAGGUUACUAUUGAUUGGAGAACUGUUUAGCUGAAAGAUGGUACCUUUUAGUGGAGCAUGUUAACAGGCUUCCCUGUUGAUGUUAAUACUUUGCGGAUGCAUUAAAGUGCUUGGGUGCAUCCAAAUUUCCUGCAUCUGUGAAAACCAUACAGAGUAUUUUCGAUUAUUUAAAGCAUUGCUCUGUUCAUGACUGGCUUCUGUGGUGUUUAGUCAUUAGCUUAUUGCAAAAAUCUCUCAUUUUUUAAGUCAAUACUUUAUAUAAUUGACAUUCCAGAAGCAUACUGGCUCCUGAGGGUUUUUACACCGACAUGUAAAAGAUGCAAUAAGAAUUCACAGUAAAUAGAAUUCACAUCGCCAAAUAAAACGGCUGUGAUAUGAAAGCCCAUACUUUUAGCGCUAUAGCAAUGCAUCUCUAAAAAUAUGGUUGUUUAAUUGAUUCAGUCUGUCUUUCUCAGGCUGUUGUUGCUAUGAUAAAUCAUGCCAUUGGAGCCACCGGAGUUGUUAGCCAGGAAUGCAAGACUGUAGUUGCACAGUAUGGGGAAACAAUCAUGGAUUUACUUUUAUCAGAGGUGAACACUAUCUUUUUAUUAUCUUUUAUCUAGUUUAAUUUCUCAAUCUCCAGAUUACUUCACAUGGCUGCUCAAACAUGUUCCACAUUACGUUUUCAUAACUGGGGAGGUGUUACUGGCGUUAAUUGUUUCCAGAAUAUGUCUAAUGUACUUCUAUAAUUAACUGACUACAUCUUUUGGAUUUUGUAUUUUACAGGCAUCACCACAGAAGAUUUGCUCGCAAAUUGGGUUGUGCACCUUUGAUGGGACUCGUGGUGUUGGGUCAGGCGCAAAAUAUAUUCUAUUAUUAUCACAUUGUUUCUUUAUUAUAAAUUAUAUCAGGAAAAAAAAAAUGCAGCUUGUGCAUCUGCCAACUGAUGUUAUUAUCAGUUACCUUAUCCUGACUAUAUCUAUGUGAUAAGCUCAUUGGUUCAUGAAUGUGCUUGUGUAGCAUGGGCAUUGAGAGUGUUGUGGAUGAGAAGAAUGGUGACAAGUCAUCUGGUGUACAUGAUGCUGGAUGCUCUGCUUGUGAGAUGGCAGUUGUCUGGAUGCAAAGCCAGCUUCGGCAGAAUCAGACAAAAGAACGUAUAUUGGAGUAUGUGAAUGAGGUGAGCUUUUUGCCUAAUUUUUUUAUUUAUUUUUUGGUUUUUAAUCCUUUAAUCCUGCACAAGGGUGCUUCAGCAUUGACUUUGACCUUCGAUACAAUUUCAGCUUUGUGAUCGACUGCCGAGCCCAAUGGGAGAAUCAGCUGUGGACUGUUUACAGCUUUCUUCCAUGCCUAAUGUUUCCUUAACUAUUGGUGGUAAAGUUUUUGAUCUCUCAGCAAAUGAGGUAUGACAUUACUCCUGUUUCUUCUAAAUUAAGAUAUAUUAUUUAGGGUUCUAAAGCUAAGCGAGAUUAGGUGGGUGUAAUAGGUUACUCAGUUACCCAACUUCUUUUAAGUUCCCAUUUUGGAAAAAUUAGAAUUAGAAUAUUGUAAGAAGUGAUUGCUGAAUAUGGUUUUCUGGUUUUCUGACCCCCUUAUUAGCACAGCUGAUUUUCAGUAGUCGCACUUGUGUUAUUUGCUCAAUUAAACGGUCACCAGUAAACAUACAUACAUAUCUGAACUUGGUUUGCAUUCCUUUUCAUUGUCCUCACAUUACUUUUCUUGGUUGAUCAGUACGUGCUGAAGGUGGGCGAGGGUGCUGCUGCACAGUGCAUUAGUGGCUUUAUUGCCAUGGACGUCCCUCCUCCACGAGGACCCCUCUGGUAUUUUAUUCCCUUCCCAAUUUACUUUCCUAGUGUCCCAUACCAUCCUUCGAUGCUGGUGAUGCUAUUUUCCACUGAUUCCAAUUAUGUACUGCAGGAUCCUGGGAGACGUCUUCAUGGGUCGCUACCACACCGUGUUCGAUUAUGGUAAUAUGAGAGUUGGAUUUGCAGAAGCGGCAUAAGAGAAACCCACCUGGGGGACUCUUGGCUUCUUCAAAACUUGAAUCUCUUAUCUAGUAGAUGUUAAUGAGUGCCUUAACAGACACAAUGGAGUUUAAAUUACAUAUUGAAAAAGUAAAAAAGGAAAAAGGGUUGUAAUAACGGAGUUUAAGAAUGGAGUCUGUGAGGUGCUGGCUGGCUUCUGAUUUGGAAACAUUACUCUCUUUCAUGUAUAUAUUGCUGCUUGCUCUGUUUUAAUUAAUGUAAAAAAGAAAAGAAAAAAUCAUGUGAAAAGGUCGCACUCUUUUUGGGCCA